UACGAAGGGUGCAAGCGUUACUCGGAAUUACUGGGCGUAAAGCGUGCGUAGGUGGUUUGUUAAGUCUGUUGUGAAAGCCCCGGGCUCAACCUGGGAAUGGCAUUGGAUACUGGCAAGCUAGAGUGCGGUAGAGGGUAGUGGAAUUCCCGGUGUAGCGGUGAAAUGCGUAGAGAUCGGGAGGAACACCAGUGGCGAAGGCGGCUACCUGGACCAGCACUGACACUGAGGCACGAAAGCGUGGGGAGCAAACAGG
rnacentral:rRNA from 1 species